AAUUCUUGACCGUUAUUUGAAGCUUACUAGUUUGAGAUAGGCACCUACGUGUUUUCCGCUUUUAUCUCCGUCCUUUUCUACCCCAUAUCUUGCAUCUCUCUCGCACAUCGACCAGUUUCACUCCCCACCAGGCAGGAGGCGACGAGUGUUCUCGGCGGCCACAGUUCGUCAUUGGCGUCUUGUUUUCCGCCCGAGAAGGUUGGUCUAACCAACCGCUGUAGUAUUUCGUUGAAAAAUAAACUCAGUGCUCUCGCAGAACACAGAAUGAGUGACUUAUAAAGCAAAUACAGAUGCGGUAAAUAAUAAAGCUACCACAGCCCGUGCACGUGACUAUGGAAAAGAAAGCAAGCCCGAAGUUCCUAAGGCACCUGUGGCCCUAGUUCAAUCCUGCAAGGCGUUCAACGGUUUGACAAAAAAGAAUGGUGUGAGGUGCGGUCCAACCAGCAUCUCCUUAGUUCGGACUGAUCACUACCGCACUUGAAGAGGGCUGAUGGUGUCAAGAAAGCUUUUCGGCCUUGAAAGACUUGGUACGCUCCCCUCGGACUACCAGUAAGUCUGUUAGCCACCCCCCAUGGGGGUCGGCUCAUUAUGACGGCGUGUGAUGGUUUUCGGCCUUGAAAGACUUGGUACGCUCCCCUCGGACUGCCAGUAAGUCUGUUAGCCACCCCCCAUAGGGGUCGGCUCAUUAUCUCGGCGUGUGAUGCUUUUCGGCCUUGAAAGACUUGGUACGCUCCCCUCGGACUGCCAGUAAGUCUGUUAGCCACCCCCCAUAGGGGUCGGCUCAUUAUCUCGGCGUGUGAUGCUUUUCGGCCUUGAAAGACUUGGUACGCUCCCCUCGGACUGCCAGUAAGUCUGUUAGCCACCCCCCAUAGGGGUCGGCUCAUUAUCUCGGCGUGUGAUGCUUUUCGGCCUUGAAAGACUUGGUACGCUCCCCUCGGACUGCCAGUAAGUCUGUUAGCCACCCCCCAUAGGGGUCGGCUCAUUAUCUCGGCGUGUGAUGCUUUUCGGCCUUGAAAUGACUUGGUACGCUCCGCCUAGGACUGCCAGUAAGUAUGUUAGCCACCCCCCGCAGGGGUUGGCUCAUUUUCACGGACCCGCGCAGGGUACCAAUCUUGCAUGUUGCGAGACGCAGCAUCAUUACAAAGUGGGGACCAGUAGGUAUACUAGCCACCCCCCACAGGGGUCGUUUCAUUAUCACGGACCCGCGCAGGGUACCAAUCUUGCAUUUUGCGAGUCGCAGCAUCAUUACAAAGCAGGGACCAGUAAGUAUACUAGCUACCCCCCGCAGGGGUCGGCUCAUUAUCACGGACGCUCGCAGGGUACCAAUCAUGCAUGUUGCGGGUCGUACCAUCAUUGCAAUCUACCCUCGCAGUGUGGCUAUUUGGAUCGACUUUCGAAGAGUCGCCAUUAUAACCUUCCCUCGAAGGGAAAUGGUAAUCACACUCACGCUGAAUGGCGUGUGACGCAAAACUCUAAAAGCUCCCUUGGGAUAUCACGAGUAAAUUACAAUAGGAACCAUGUCCAACAGAAGAAACAGAAAGCGUCCAGGACCGCAGGCGGACUUUGAUGCGUCCAACAAGGCACGUAAGUUAUGACUUUCCAGGCGGGUUGCCUAACAUUAUAUCAAGACCAAUGGAAAGAAAUGGGAGCUCCGCCUUUCUUGUCAACAAUAAUAACUGGGUAUCGCAUACCAUUGGCCAAAAGCCACCUUUGAUAGAUAAUGCCAGAUUUGACCAGAGAGUCCAAAGAGAUGGAUGUCGUCAUAUCCCAAAUGAUAAAACAAAAAGUUCUAUUGAUAGCUGCAAAUUCUGCCAGCUUUCUUUCCAAUAUGUUUCUUGUGCCCAAAAGGCGACGGAAAGAACCGUCCAAUACUCAAUCUCAAGGUUCUCAACAAGUUCAUAAUUACGGAACCCUUCAGUUUAAUAAAUGUUUUUCGGGUGCUAGAGUUUCUUCAGAAA
rnacentral:lncRNA from 1 species